rnacentral:rRNA from 1 species
GAUGAACGCUGGCGGCGUGCCUAAUACAUGCAAGUCGAGCGAACAGACGAGGAGCUUGCUCCUCUGACGUUAGCGGCGGACGGGUGAGUAACACGUGGAUAACCUACCUAUAAGACUGGGAUAACUUCGGGAAACCGGAGCUAAUACCGGAUAAUAUAUUGAACCGCAUGGUUCAAUAGUGAAAGACGGUUUUGCUGUCACUUAUAGAUGGAUCCGCGCCGCAUUAGCUAGUUGGUAAGGUAACGGCUUACCAAGGCAACGAUGCGUAGCCGACCUGAGAGGGUGAUCGGCCACCCUAGAACUGAGACACGGUCCAGACUCCUACGGGAGGCAGCAGUAGGGAAUCUUCCGCAAUGGGCGAAAGCCUGACGGAGCAACGCCGCGUGAGUGAUGAAGGUCUUCGGAUCGUAAAACUCUGUUAUUAGGGAAGAACAAAUGUGUAAGUAACUAUGCACGUCUUGACGGUACCUAAUCAGAAAGCCACGGCUAACUACGUG